rnacentral:rRNA from 1 species
CCUACGGGAGGCAGCAGUGAGGAAUAUUGGUCAAUGGACGAGAGUCUGAACCAGCCAAGUAGCGUGAAGGAUGACUGCCCUAUGGGUUGUAAACUUCUUUUAUAUGGGAAUAAAACGUUCCACGUGUGGGAUUUUGUAUGUACCAUAUGAAUAAGGAUCGGCUAACUCCGUGCCAGCAGCCGCGGUAAUACGGAGGAUCCGAGCGUUAUCCGGAUUUAUUGGGUUUAAAGGGAGCGUAGGUGGAUUGUUAAGUCAGUUGUGAAAGUUUGCGGCUCAACCGUAAAAUUGCAGUUGAAACUGGCAGUCUUGCGUACAGUCGAGGUGGGCGGACUUCGUGGUGUCGCGGUGAACUGCUUCGAUCUCACGACGAACUCCGAUUGCGAUGUCAGUUCACUGGACUGCAACUGACACUGAGGCUCGAACGUGUGGUAUCAAACAGGAUUAGAUACCCUUGUAGUC